rnacentral:rRNA from 1 species
CCUACGGGUGGCAGCAGUAGGGAAUUUUCGUCAAUAGGGGAAACCCUGACCGAGCAACGCCGCGUGAACGAAGAAGUUAUUCUUAGUUUAAAGUUCUUUUUACAGGGAAGAAAGAGAAAUUUGACGGUACCUGAAGUAUAAGCUCCGGCUAACUACGUCCCAGCAGCCGCGGUAAUACGUAGGGAUCGAGCGUUAUCCGGAAUUAUUGGGCGUAAAGGGUGCGUAGAUGGCAUAGUAAGUCUUUUGUAAAAAUGCUGGGCUCAACCGAGAAGGGCAAAAGAUACUGCAAAGCUAGAGUAUGACAGAGGCAAGUGGAAAUACAUGUGGAGCGGGAAAAUGCGUAAGUAUA